UGACCUCGGAUCAGGUAGGAAUACCCGCUGAGCUUAAGCAUAUCAAUAGGC
rnacentral:rRNA from 1 species